rnacentral:rRNA from 1 species
GCCUACGGGGGGCAGCAGUGGGGAAUAUUGCACAAUGGGGGAAACCCUGAUGCAGCGACGCCGCGUGAGCGAUGAAGUAUUUCGGUAUGUAAAGCUCUAUCCGCAGGGAAGAAAAUGACGGUACCUGACUAAGAAGCCCCGGCUAACUACGUGCCAGCAGCCGCGGUAAUACGUAGGGGGCAAGCGUUAUCCGGAUUUACUGGGUGUAAAGGGAGCGUAGGUGGCAGGGCAAGUCAGAUGUGAAAACCCGGGGCUCAACUCCGGGAGUGCAUUUGAAACUGUCCAGCUAGAGUGCAGGAGAGGUA